rnacentral:rRNA from 1 species
GGAAUCUUCCACAAUGGACGCAAGUCUGAUGGAGCAACGCCGCGUGAGUGAAGAAGGUUUUCGGACCGUAAAGCUCUGUUGUUGGUGAAGAAGGAUAGAGGUAGUAACUGGCCUUUAUUUGACGGUAAUCAACCAGAAAGUCACGGCUAACUACGUGCCAGCAGCCGCGGUAAUACGUAGGUGGCAAGCGUUGUCCGGAUUUAUUGGGCGUAAAGCGAGCGCAGGCGGAAGAAUAAGUCUGAUGUGAAAGCCCUCGGCUUAACCGAGGAAUUGCAUCGGAAACUGUUUUCUUGAGUGCAGAAGAGGAGAGUAGAACUCCAUGUGUAGCGGUGGAAUGCGUAGAUAUAUGGAAGAAUACCAGUGGCGAAGGCGGCUCUCUGGUCUGCAACUGACGCUGAGGCUCGAAAGCAUGGGUAGCGAACAGGAUUAGAUACCCUGGUAGUCCAUGCCGUAAACGAUGAGUGCUAAGUGUUGGGAGGCUUCCGCCUCUCAGUGCUGCAGCUAACGCAUUAAGCACUCCGCCUGGGGGAGUACGACCGCAAGGUUGAAAC